rnacentral:rRNA from 1 species
UAGGGAAUCUUCGGCAAUGGGGGGAACCCUGACCGAGCAACGCCGCGUGAGUGAAGAAGGUUUUCGGAUCGUAAAGCUCUGUUGUUAAGGAAGAACGAGUGUGAGAAUGGAAAGUUCAUGCUGUGACGGUACUUAACCAGAAAGGGACGGCUAACUACGUGCCAGCAGCCGCGGUAAUACGUAGGUCCCGAGCGUUGUCCGGAUUUAUUGGGCGUAAAGCGAGCGCAGGCGGUUAGAAAAGUCUGAAGUGAAAGCCCCCGGCUCAACCGGGGAGGGUCAUUGGAAACUGAUUGACUUGAGUGCAGAAGAGGAGAGUGGAAUUCCAUGUGUAGCGGUGAAAUGCGUAGAUAUAUGGAGGAACACCAGUGGCGAAGGCGACUCUCUGGUCUGUAACUGACGCUGAGGUUCGAAAGCGUGGGUAGCAAACAGG